rnacentral:rRNA from 1 species
CGGAAUUACUGGGCGUAAAGCGCGCGUAGGUGGCUUGAUAAGCCGGUUGUGAAAGCCCCGGGCUCAACCUGGGAACGGCAUCCGGAACUGUGAGGCUAGAGUGCAGGAGAGGAAGGUAGAAUUCCCGGUGUAGCGGUGAAAUGCGUAGAGAUCGGGAGGAAUACCAGUGGCGAAGGCGGCCUUCUGGACUGACACUGACACUGAGGUGCGAAAGCGUGGGUAGCAAACAGGAUUAGAUACCCUGGUAGUCCACGCCGUAAACGAUGUCGACCAGCCGUUGGGUGCCUAGAGCACUUUGUGGCGAAGUUAACGCGAUAAGUCGACCGCCUGGGGAGUACGGCCGCAAGGUUAAAACUCAAAUGAAUUGACGGGGGCCCGCACAAGCGGUGGAGCAUGUGGUUUAAUUCGAUGCAACGCGAAGAACCUUACCUACCCUUGACAUCGACAGAAGCCUGGAGAGAUCCGGGUGUGCCUUCGGGAACUGUCAGACAGGUGCUGCAUGGCUGUCGUCAGCUCGUGUUGUGAAAUGUUGGGUUAAGUCCCGUAACGAGCGCAACCCUUGUCCUUAUUUGCCAGCGCGUAAUGGCGGGAACUCUAAGGAGACUGCCGGUGACAAACCGGAGGAAGGUGGGGACGACGUCAAGUCAUCAUGGCCCAUACGGGUAGGGCUACACACGUGCUACAAUGGCCGGUACAAAGGGCGGCGAGCUCGCGAGAGUCAGCGAAUCCCUUAAAGCCGGUCUCAGUCCGGAUCGGAGUCUGCAACUCGACUCCGUGAAGUCGGAAUCGCUAGUAAUCGUGCAUCAGAAUGGCACGGUGAAUACGUUCCCGGGCCUUGUACACACCGCCC